rnacentral:rRNA from 1 species
AUGCGUGCGACGGCGGCGGCGGAGGCACUCCUCCCUCUCGCGGGUCAUAGGGCGACGUGGGGCGCCCUGGCUCGAGGGUGUGACCUCGAUCUGGACUGCGGCGGCGCCGAUCUGGUUCAUGACGGCCCAGAUCUAGACUACGGCGGUGUGGCGGCCGUCCGGCGUCAUAAUGGCGGUUCUGGUGGCAGUGUUGGCGACGGUGACGGCUGUGGCACGGUGGCGUUGGAGGCGGCGCGGGUUGUGGGCGCGGCAGUCUGGCCUGUUCGGGCGGCGGCGGCGUUGUGGUCAGCAGCGGCGGUGCCCCAUCUGCCUUUGGAUCAGCGGCGGUGGCGUGCAGGGCCUUGUGGUCGCGUCGGCGGCACCUCCGGUUAG